GAGAUAACAUAAGAUGCUUGGUUAGAUCACGUGUACUAAUGACUCGAAUCUCUAACGCACAGGAGUGAAGCUCUGCUGCUAGCACAGAUGUCGCCAUAGUCUCGAGGCACCGUCUGGCAAGGCGAGAGGCUCUGCUUGUAGCACAGUCGCUACCAUAGUCCCGAUGCCCUUUCUGGGUAGUGAUGCCAUCAUUGUCCCGAGGCACGUUCUGGCAAGGCGAGAGGCUCUGCUUGUAGCACAGACGCUACCAUAGUCCCGAGGCUCUGUCUGGCAAGACUAGAAGCUCUGCACCUAGCAGAUGCCGCCAUAGUCCCGAGGCACCGUCUGGCAAGGCUGCCCUCACGGCAAAACAGGUUUAAUUUUGGCA
rnacentral:lncRNA from 1 species